UGGGGAAUCUUGCGCAAUGGCCGAAAGGCUGACGCAGCGACGCCGCGUGUGGGAUGACGGUCUUCGGAUUGUAAACCACUGUCGGGAGGGACGAAGUUCUGACGGUACCUCCAAAGGAAGCACCGGCUAACUCUGUGCCAGCAGCCGCGGUAAUACAGAGGGUGCGAGCGUUGUCCGGAAUCACUGGGCGUAAAGGGCGCGUAGGCGGCCUGGUAAGUCGGGGGUGAAACGCUGCGGCUCAACCGCAGCACUGCCUUCGAGACUGUCAGGAUGGAGCACGGUAGAGGCUGGUGGAAUUCCCGGUGGAGCGGUGGAAUGCGUAGAGAUCGGGAAGAACAUCGGUGGCGAAGGCGGCCAGCUGGGCCGUUGCUGACGCUGAGGCGCGACAGCGUGG
rnacentral:rRNA from 1 species